rnacentral:rRNA from 1 species
UGCUUUCCAUCUGGAAGAAUCUGGAGACAGGUGCUGCAUGGCUGUCGUCAGCUCGUGUCGUGAGAUGUUGGGUUAAGUCCCGCAACGAGCGCAACCCUUGCCUUUAGUUGCCAGCAGUUCGGCUGGGCACUCUAAAGGGACUGCCGGUGUUAAACCGGAGGAAGGUGGGGAUGACGUCAAGUCCUCAUGGCCUUUAUGACCAGGGCUACACACGUACUACAAUGGCCGAUACAAAGGGCAGCGACACUGCGAGGUGAAGCCAAUCCCGUAAAAUCGGUCUCAGUCCGGAUUGGAGUCUGCAACUCGACUCCAUGAAGUUGGAAUCGCUAGUAAUCGUGGAUCAGCAUGCCACGGUGAAUACGUUCCCGGGCCUU